rnacentral:rRNA from 1 species
UACGUAGGGUGCGAGCGUUUAAUCGGAAUUACUGGGCGUAAAGCGUGCGCAGGCGGCGCGUUUAAGACAGGUGUGAAAGCCCCCGAGCUUUAACUUGGGAAUUGCGCUUGUGACUGGCGUGCUGGAGUGUGGCAGAGGGAGGUGGAAUUCCACGUGUAGCAGUGAAAUGCGUAGAGAUGUGGAGGAACACCGAUGGCGAAGGCAGCCUCC